GCAGUCGAGCGGGGGAAGGUAGCUUGCUACCGGACCUAGCGGCGGACGGGUGAGUAAUGCUUAGGAAUCUGCCUAUUAGUGGGGGACAACAUCUCGAAAGGGAUGCUAAUACCGCAUACGUCCUACGGGAGAAAGCAGGGGAUCUUCGGACCUUGCGCUAAUAGAUGAGCCUAAGUCGGAUUAGCUAGUUGGUGGGGUAAAGGCCUACCAAGGCGACGAUCUGUAGCGGGUCUGAGAGGAUGAUCCGCCACACUGGGACUGAGACACGGCCCAGACUCCUACGGGAGGCAGCAGUGGGGAAUAUUGGACAAUGGGGGGAACCCUGAUCCAGCCAUGCCGCGUGUGUGAAGAAGGCCUUAUGGUUGUAAAGCACUUUAAGCGAGGAGGAGGCUACUUUAGUUAAUACCUAGGGAUAGUGGACGUUACUCGCAGAAUAAGCACCGGCUAACUCUGUGCCAGCAGCCGCGGUAAUACAGAGGGUGCGAGCGUUAAUCGGAUUUACUGGGCGUAAAGCGUGCGUAGGCGGCUUAUUAAGUCGGAUGUGAAAUCCCCGAGCUUAACUUGGGAAUUGCAUUCGAUACUGGUGAGCUAGAGUAUGGGAGAGGAUGGUAGAAUUCCAGGUGUAGCGGUGAAAUGCGUAGAGAUCUGGAGGAAUACCGAUGGCGAAGGCAGCCAUCUGGCCUAAUACUGACGCUGAGGUACGAAAAGCAUGGGGAGCAAACAGGGAUUAGAUACCCCUGGUAGUCCAUGCCGUAAACGAUGUCUACUAGCCGUUGGGGGCCUUUGAGGCUUUAGUGGCGCAGCUAACGCGAUAAGUA
rnacentral:rRNA from 1 species